AUUGAACGCUGGCGGCAGGCCUAACACAUGCAAGUCGAACGAGUGGCGGACGGGUGAGUAAUGUCUGGGCAACUGCCUGAUGGAGGGGGAUAACUACUGGAAACGGUAGCUAAUACCGCAUACCAUCAGAUGUGCCCAGAUGGGAUUAGCUAGUUGGUGGGUGAACGGCUCACCCAGGCGACGAUCCCUAGCGGGUCUGAGAGGAUGAACGUCCCAACUGGAACGGAGACACGGUCCAUACUCCUACGGGAGGCAGCAGUGGGGAAUAUUGGACAAUGGGCGCAAGCCUGAGGCAGCCAUGCCGCUUGUAUGAAGAAGGCCUUCGGGUUGUAAAGUACUUUCAGCGGGGAGGCGUUACCCGCAGAAGAAGCACCGGCUAACUCCGUGCCAGCAGCCGCGGUAAUAC
rnacentral:rRNA from 1 species